AACGAACGCUGGCGGCAUGCCUAACACAUGCAAGUCGAACGAGACCUUCGGGUCUAGUGGCGCACGGGUGCGUCACGCGUGGGAACCUGCCCUUAGGUUCGGAAUACCUCCCCGAAAGGGGUGCUAAUACCGGAUAAUGUCUUCGGACCAAAGAUUUAUCGCCUUUGGAUGGGCCCGCGUUGGAUUAGCUAGUUGGUAGGGUAAUAGCCUACCAAGGCGACGAUCCAUAGCUGGUCUGAGAGGAUGAUCAGCGACACUGGGACUAAGACACGGCCCAGACUCCUACGGGAGGCAGCAGUGGGGAAUAUUGGACAAUGGGCGAAAGCCUGAUCCAGCAAUGCCGCGUGAGUGAUGAAGGCCUUAGGGUUGUAAAGCUCUUUUAACCGGGAUGAUAAUGACAGUACCGGGAGAAUAAGCUCCGGCUAACUCCGUG
rnacentral:rRNA from 1 species